AGCGAACGCUGGCGGCAGGCUUAACACAUGCAAGUCGAACGCAUCCUUCGGGGUGAGUGGCAGACGGGUGAGUAACACGUGGGAACGUACCCUUCGAUCUGGGAUAACUUCGGGAAACUGGAGCUAAUACCGGAUACGCCCUUUUGGGGAGAGGUUUACUGUCGAAGGAUCGGCCCGCGUCUGAUUAGCUAGUUGGUGGGGUAACGGCCUACCAAGGCGACGAUCAGUAGCUGGUCUGAGAGGAUGAUCAGCCACACUGGGACUGAGACACGGCCCAGACUCCUACGGGAGGCAGCAGUGGGGAAUAUUGGACAAUGGGCGCAAGCCUGAUCCAGCCAUGCCGCGUGAGUGAUGAAGGCCUUAGGGUUGUAAAGCUCUUUUGUCCGGGACGAUAAUGACGGUACCGGAAGAAUAAGCCCCGGCUAACUUCGUG
rnacentral:rRNA from 1 species